UAGGAAUCGACCAACAAGGAUUCCUCAACGUGUUUCUGGAGCGGAGACGUUGGGGCCGGACUUGCGCUGUUUGUUCCAGACCAGGAUUCUGGCUGAGGAGAGCUGAUGGGGGAGCCAAGACUCUGGAGGACGACAUCACUCCACCAACCAGGAUCCUCGUAAGUUUGCAUAAAAUAAACAGAGUGGACUUGUUGUAACGCAGGAUUAGUUUGUCCAGUACAAGUACGGCAUACUACUGUGCUCGUUUACCAGACAAACUACAGCUGCUACUUUGUUACGCGCCAUUAGAGCCCAACUACUCCUGUGUUUGUUACCUUGCAUUAGAGACAAACCACUACUGUGUUUGUUACCUUGCAUUAGAGCCCAACUACUACUGUGUUUGUUACCUUGCAUCAGAGACAAAUUACAUUUGUAACCAGACCAGG